rnacentral:rRNA from 1 species
UGUAAGCGUAUACCAAAGUUGUUGCAGUUAAAACGCUCGUAGUCGGAAUUUGGCAGUUCCGGAUGUGUGCACGUCGUGUGCGCACUUCGCGGGGAUUGCUUUUGUGGUCUUGCGUAGGAUGAGGCACUUUUAUUAGUGAACGUCCUCACGCAACCACUUUUUACUGUGAGAAAAUCAGAGUGCUCAAAGCAGGCAUUUGCCGUGAAUGUAUUAGCAUGGAAUAAUAGAAUAGGACUUGGCUCUAUUUUGUUGGUUUGUUGGGACUGAGUAAUGAUUAAGAGGGACAGUUGGGGGCAUUUGUAUUUCGGUGCUAGAGGUGAAAUUCUUAGAUUACCGAAAGACAAACUGCUGCGAAAGCGUCUGCCAAGGAUGUUUUCAUUGA